GCUUGUCUCAAAGAUUAAGCCAUGCAUGUCUAAGUACAAGCCUCAGUAAGGUGAAACCGCGAAUGGCUCAUUAAAUCACACCUAAUCUACUGGAAAGUUACUAGUUACUUGGAUAACUGUGGUAAUUCUAGAGCUAAUACAUGCAUCAGUACCCGACUUUGUGGAAGGGUUGUGUUUAUUAGAUAUAGAACCAACCCAGGCUCUGCCUGGUUAUGUGGUGAUUCAUGAUAACUGAAUGAAUCGCAUGGUCCGCCGGCGAUAAAUCAUUCAAGUUUCUGACCUAUCAGCUUCCGACGGUAGGGUAUUGGCCUACCGUGGCAAUGACGGGUAACGGAGAAUUAGGGUUCGAUUCCGGAGAGGGAGCCUGAGAAACGGCUACCACAUCUAAGGAAGGCAGCAGG
rnacentral:rRNA from 1 species